rnacentral:rRNA from 1 species
GAUGAACGCUGGCGGCGUGCCUAAUACAUGCAAGUCGAGCGAACAGACGAGGAGCUUGCUCCUCUGACGUUAGCGGCGGACGGAUGAGUAACACGUGGAUAACCUACCUAUAAGACUGGGAUAACUUCGGGAAACCGGAGCUAAUACCGGAUAAUAUAUUGAACCGCAUGGUUCAAUAGUGAAAGACGGUUUUGCUGUCACUUAUAGAUGGUUCCGCGCCGCAUUAGCUAGUUGGUAAGGUAACGGCUUACCAAGGCAACGAUGCGUAGCCGACCUGAGAGGGUGAUCGGCCACACUGGAACUGAGACACGGUCCAGACUCCUACGGGAGGCAGCAGUAGGGAAUCUUCCGCAAUGGGCGAAAGCUUGACGGAGCAACGCCGCGUGAGUGAUGAAGGUCUUCGGAUCGUAAAACUCUGUUAUUAGGGAAGAACAAAUGUGUAAGUAACUAUGCACGUCUUGACGGUACCUAAUCAGAAAGCCACGGCUAACUACGUG